CCUACGGGUGGCAGCAGUGGGGAAUAUUGCACAAUGGGGGAAACCCUGAUGCAGCAACGCCGCGUGAAGGAAGAAGGUCUUCGGAUUGUAAACUUCUUUCAAUAGGGAAGAAAGAAAUGACGGUACCAAAAUAAGAAGCUCCGGCUACCUACGUGCCAGCAGCCGCGGUAAUACGUAGGGGGCAAGCGUUAUCCGGAAUUACUGGGAGUAAAGGGAGAGUAGGCGGUAAGGUAAGCGAUAUGUGAAAGCCUGAAGCUUAACUUAGGGAUGGCAUAACGAACUAGCUGGCUAGAGUACAGUAGAGGAAAGCGGAAUUCCUGGUGUAGCGGUGAAAUGCGUAGAUAUUAGGAGGAACACCAGUGGCGAAGGCGGCUUGCUGGACUGAAACUGACGCUGAGGCUCGAAAGCGUGGGGAGCGAACAGGAUUAGAUACCCGGGUAGUC
rnacentral:rRNA from 1 species